GACCCACUGAGCCACCCGGCACCCCUGUAUAUGCAUUUAGAAAGUAAAACGGGCCUCUAAUAUUCUUUUCCCAGAUUGUCCUUAUUCGGUUAAGGAAUCAAGGAUAUACCAGCUUCACAAAAUGAAUUUCUUUCCUCCCCGAGGCCCCAGUAAUAAUUUGUAUAUGGGGAUUCAGAGGCUGCCUGUGAAUGAAGACACUGGGUCCAUGGAUGAAGGCAUGGAGCAGACCCCAGCCACCCCACAUUGGAUGAGGGAAUACGACGCUGCCCUCGAGCCACACACUGGUCCCUCAGCAAGUUAAACACACGGUCGCCGCUUCACUCAGCAAUUCCAUUGUGAAGGAAACGCCCAAGAGAACUGAACAGAUGUUCACACAAGAACCUGUACACGAACGUUCACAGCAGCUCCUUGUAGUGGUCAGAAGGUGGAAACGGGCGCCUG